rnacentral:rRNA from 1 species
CACAUGCAAGUCGACGAGAAAGUUCCUCGGGAAGCGAGUAAAGUGGCGCACGGGUGAGUAACACGUAGACAACUGCCUUCCAGUCCGGGGCAACCUUCGAAAGAAGGGCUAAUACCGGAUAACACUUGGGCCGCAUGGCCUGGGGUUGAAAGAUUUAUCGCUGGAAGAGGGGUCUGCGGGACAUUAGCUAGUUGGCGGGGUAACGGCCCACCAAGGCGACGAUGUCUAGCGGGUCUGAGAGGAUGAUCCGCCACACUGGAACUGAGACACGGUCCAGACUCCUACGGGAGGCAGCAGUGGGGAAUUUUGCGCAAUGGGCGAAAGCCUGACGCAGCAACGCCGCGUGAGUGAAGAAGGCCUUCGGGUCGUAAAGCUCUUUUCCAGGGGAAGAGACUGACGGUACCCUGGGAAUAAGCGCCGGCUAACUCUGUGCCAGCAGCCGCGGUAAUACAGAGGGCGCAAGCGUUGUUCGGAUUUACUGGGCGUAAAGGGCGUGUAGGCGGAUGUGCAAGUCGGGGGUGAAAGGCCAGGGCUCAACCCGGGACGGUCUCCCGAAACUGUGCAUCUCGAGAAAGUCAGAGGCAGGUGGAAUUCCAGGUGUAGAGGUGAAAUUCGUAGAGAUCUGGAGGAACACCGGCGGCGAAGGCGGCCUGCUGGGGCUUUUCUGACGCUGAGGCGCGAAAGCGUGGGUAGCAAACAGGAUUAGAUACCCUGGUAGUCCACGCUGUAAACGAUGAGCACUAGAUGUGCGCGGUAUGACCCCGCGCGUGUCGCAGCUAAC